rnacentral:tRNA from 1 species
GUUGCCGCCAGGCCGCACGGUGGUCCACGUCGUUCUGGACGACGUCGAGCCCAAGACCCAACGCUGGUGGCUGAUCAUGACAGCGGACGACGC